CCUACGGGAGGCAGCAGUGGGGAAUAUUGGGCAAUGGAGGAAACUCUGACCCAGCAACGCAGCGUGAAUGAUGAAGGUCUUCGGGUUGUAAAGUUCUUUUCUAAGGGAAGAAGAAAGUGACGGUACCGUAGGAAUAAGCCUCGGCUAACUACGUGCCAGCAGCCGCGGUAAUACGUAGGAGGCGAGCGUUAUCCGGAUUGAUUGGGCGUAAGGGUGUCGUAGGUGGUUUGGCAAGUUAGUAGCGUAACUAUAAGGCUCAACCGUGGAACUACAGCUAAAACUGGUGGACUUGAGUGCAGGAGGGGCAAGCGGAAUUCCUGGUGUAGCGGUGGAAUGCGUAGAUAUCACGAGGAACACCAGUGGCGAAGGCGGGUCGCUAGACUGUAACUGACACUGAGGCACGAAAGUGUGGGGAGCAAACAGGAUUAGAUACCCGGGUAGUC
rnacentral:rRNA from 1 species